rnacentral:lncRNA from 10 species
GGGAGAUAAAAAUAGCCUGCGGGCUGCGCUGGAAGGUAUACUGGAAGCCCCCAGCGUUCGCCGGCGACUGGCGUCCUAAUUUAUGGCACCCGGAGAAUCGAGCUCGGCGAGCGCCUCUCCUAGGCGGGUUGAGCUGCAGGCCAAGUUUGUGAAAUCCCUCCUGGUUGCUGUGUGGAGCCCUAGUUCAUCCACAUUUCCAACAGCUGAGUCUUCCGCACAACGGGAAAAGCACCAUUAAUUUCACUCUCCUAUCUUGGAGCAUUUAGAUCAUUUCCUGGUUUUGCUUCUUACAAACAGAGCUGCUAUGAACAUCCCUACCUGGAACUCAGGGGCCACUUUUCUCUAGGGACACAUUCAUCUGUCUGCUAGAUGCUUUUUUCUAAAACUCUACUUUCAUUUUAAAAAUUAUGACAUGGCUAUACUUGCUCAGGCCUCUAAGAUGGCAUCCUAGGACCUACUGAAUGGAGUCCCAGCAUCUCAAGGAAGGAAUGCCAGAAGCCAGAACAUCCAAGUAACAAUCUCCACCUGCAGCUGAUGCUCUCUGGGACCCAGGACCAGCCACUCUUCUCUGUGCCCCACUUUCCUCCUUUGUAAUCUAAUUACCCAGUGAUGACCAGGAUAUAAGAGGACUUGUCUGCAUUGUCUCAUGGCCACAACCACAAGAAGAGCGUCCUGCUGUCACCCCCAUUUUAUAAAUAGGGAAACUAGGUCAGGCAUGGUGGCUCACACCUGUAAUCCUAGAGCUUUGAGAGGCCAAGGCGGGAGGAACAGUUGAGACAGCAGUUUGAGACCAGCCUGGGCAACAUAGCAAGAACUCCGUCUUGACAAAAAAAAAAAAAAUUUUUUUUAAAUUAACUGGGCAUGGUGGCACACACCUGUUGUUCCAACUAUUCGAGAGGCUGAGAUGGGAGGAUCAUUUGAGCCCAGGAGAUCGAGGCUGCAGUGAGCUAGGAUCAUGCCACUGCACUCCAGCCUGGACAACAGAGUGAGACCUUAUCUCUAAAAAAUAAGAAAACUGAGGCACAGAGAAGUUAAGUAACGUGCUCAAGGUCAUGCAACUAGUAAGUGGCAGAGCCUACGUGCUUUCCCUUCAUUAAUUCAGUCAUUUAUUCAACAACUAUUUUAUUGAACAUCCACUAUGUACCCAGCCUCGGCAGUGAUCAAGAUACCCAAGAUCCUAGAUUUUACAAAAUCCACCACUUAAAAGCAGAGCAUGGGAUGGAAAGGAGACAAAAAUUAUUGUGUCUAACUUAUUUGUUAAUUUGCCUAUGGGCAGCAAUAAGUGCCAUGGGGGGAAAAAAGGUAGAGUAAUAGGAACUACUUUGGUCAGGGAAGUCCUCUCUGCAGAGUGGAGACCUCACUGUCAAGGAGAAAACAGCCAAGCAAAGGCCUAAAUCAAGGGUGUUACAAGAGAAAGGAAAAGGCAGGAGUAGAGAGGCCCCAUUGUCAGAGGCGUUUAAACCAGAGUGACUCCAUCUUGACCAGGAGCUGGGUACAAUGAGGCUGAAACCUACUGGGCUGCAUUCCCAGAUGGUUAGGCAUUCUGAGUCACAGGAUAAGAUAGGAGGUCUGCACAAAAUACAGGUCAUAAAGACCUUGCUGAUAAAACAGGAUAAGUAAAGAAGCCAGCCAAAACCCACCAAAACCAAGAUGGUGACGAGAGUGACCUGUGGUCGCCCUCACUGCUGCACUCCCACCCGCGUCAUGACAGUUUACAAAUGCCAUGGCAAUGUCAAGAAGUUACCCAAAAGGGCCAAAAAGGAGGAGGCAUAAAUAAUCCACCCCUUGUUUAGCAUAUCAUCAAGAAAUAACCAUAAAAAUGGGCAACCAGCAGCCCUUGGAUCUGCUCUGCCUAUGGAGUAGCCAUUCUUUCAUUCCUUUACUUUCCUAAUAAACUUGC